rnacentral:rRNA from 1 species
UGGGGAAUAUUAGAAAUGGACGAAAGUCUGAUCUAGCAACACCGCGUGUGCGAAGAAGGCCUUCGGGUUGUAAAACACUUUUUGGAAGGAUUAGGAAGGAAUGUACUUCCAGAAUAAGUCUCGGCUAACUACGUUCCAGCAGCCGCGGUAACACGUAGGAGGCAAACGUUAUCCGGAUUUACUGGGCGUAAAGCGCGUGUAGGUGGUUCUGUAAGUAGGGCGUGAAAGCUCCUGGCUCAACUGGGAAAGGCCGUUCGAAACUGCAGGGCUAGAGGAUGGUAGAGGGAGGUGGAAUUCCGGGUGUAGCGGUGGAAUGCGCAGAUAUCCGGAGGAACACCAGUGGCGAAAGCGGCCUCCUGGACCAUUCCUGACACUCAGACGCGAAAGCUAGGGUAGCAAACG